UGGGGACCCGCCGAGAGUGGCUCCUUUGCCUCUGAUCUCAACGUCAGCCCCCACCCAGGCUCCCUAGCGCGUUCCUGGUCUGCCCCCUACGCUGGCCACCUCUGGUCCCACUCUGCCUCCUACACGGGAGCCCUGCUCUGGGCUGCGAUCUUGAGUCCUCAGAUGCCCCAACCCUCAUCCUUCAUGGCAGAUAGCUGGAGUUUCCAACUCUGUCCUGAGGACCCGAAGUGCGCUCCCUGGAUGAGUCUGGGCUGUGCCCCUGCGGAGCUUCAGUUUCUCCAGCUUGAAGCAGUGACUCUAAAGGUUUAUGAGCGCGAAUAAAGGGUCUCCACUCGUGACUGGAAUCCCCCAGAUGCCUUCUGAUGCUGUUAUGGAAUGAACUCCAAGAUCAAUACUGGAAGUACAUUUGCAGCCCUUCACAGACAUGCACACAUCGAGAAAGUUGGAGUCACCAGUGGACAGGUGGAAAUUUUCUCCAUCUAUAUCACAUGGCGGCUCCAUGGAGAAGAGAGGAGAAAGAGGAAGAGAAAGAGAGCAAUUUCUUGCUUGUCCCUGCUUAUAUUCUGAGUCUGCCUGCUAUGUCACUUCCUGCCUGGAUCACAAGACUUAUCUUUACUACAUUUCCCAGAAUCCUCCUUGACUCCUAGUCCCACCUAACUUGCUUCCUCAUUGACUCCUAGUCCCGCCUAACUUCAUUCCUCACUUUAUUCAACAACCAAUAAGAUAAAUAUACACAGAAGAACUUGCUGUAUCACACUCCCAAACUCAUCUAUGUCAACCCCACACCCCCCCAAACUUAUCUAUGUAACCCCACACCCCCAAACUCAGGGAACAUGGUGGGAAAGGAGGUAAAAAGACGAUGAGAUGGAGGGUGGGGAUGAGUGUUGUGAAAUGCUGCCUCUGGGCACAUGGCGGUGACUUUCGUGGACUUGCAGCAGCUGCAGGUACCUGCACAAGAUCAAGCUGGUCCGCAUUCCAUCAGGGAUGGGAGGGCUCUGCUCCUCUCUGGGGAGCUAUUUGCAGUUAAUGGCAGCUGGAGGAGCGGGGUUAUUUUUCUUCAGUGAUGUAGCUUAGCUAUUGGUUAAGCCGCUCAUGCUCCUGUGCAUGGUCCCACACCCACACGCAUGCAAGAAACACUAAUUAAACUCUGUGUCGUAAAAAGAGGUCACACGUGUAGGAGGGUGAUGACUUCUUGAAGGGACCCAGAGGGAGCUGGAGGGGGACUAAGAAAGGGUAAUGGAGG
rnacentral:lncRNA from 1 species